GUCAGUAUACAUAGCAUGAUUCUCAACUAAAUAAAAACUCGCCGAUAUCGGAACAAAUAUACAUUGUGCCGCUGGAUAUUGUGAAUUUUAUGUUGGGAACACAUGGCAUAGAGUACAUUGAUAAAACGACAAACAAAGCAUACCGGUUUGAUAUUGAGCAGUAUGCCCACCACCGCCAGUUUCUUAACAAAAGAAAACUUGCUUCGUAUCCAUUUCUAUUUGUGCCAAUUUGCAAUGGAGCUCAUUGGUGGUUGUAGAUUGCUGAUGUCAAGAAAAAGAAAUUCUAUGUGCUUGAC